rnacentral:lncRNA from 1 species
AAUAGUCCUACAUCGACUAUAUCAUGUAAUUAGUUAUAAUAUCUCUUUAUAUAAUAAAGUCUCCAUAAUACUUUUCAAAACACACGGUUUAUUCAAAUGUCUCAUAGUCUCUUGUAUUUCAACAAUUAUCAUCACUAGAGAAAACUAUAGAUUUGAAAUAGAUUGCUUAGUCUGAUUUCAAAUUUUUAUUAUAUUCAUGUAAUAUUAUCCUGAACUCCUCAGCUACUCGUUUGAUGCAGAUCGCGCGUGAACGGGAACAAUAAAUUGAGAUGGAACUAUGGUGAUUUGGUCCUCAUGAAGGUUUCACUUAUGUUAACUCUCAAAGACCUACAAGGAGGAAAGUUAUCCCUUGAAAAAACAUAAAGUAGAAAUAACCAUUUCGUAAGUGAUAUAAGCACAUGUGUAUGUUUUUUUGGUAAAAAGUUUUAUUUCUAUGUAUUCAAUUUUAAUCAAAUGUUUGGAUUCUGUAUGUUAUUUCCUUAUUUGUCUUGGAUAACUAAGACUUAUAUGACGUAUGAGCCCUUUCGUAGAUUUUAAUUAGAAGUAAGUAUGCAAUUUAUUUUUAUUAA